rnacentral:ncRNA from 2 species
AGGCCAAAGCAUAUAUCAAUUUAUCUAGAUAUUGUGAUGAUAAACGGAAAGCGGUGUAAAUCCGCUACGGACGCGCCACUGUAACCGGGACAAACCCAACCGAAGCCACUGUUCGACACGGACGAACGGGAAGGCAAGGCGAGCACGGGCCGGAAGUCAGGAGACGACUUGUCACAAUGGCCGCGA